rnacentral:rRNA from 1 species
ACGGCGAGUGAAGCGGCAACAGCUCAAAUUUGAAAUCUGGCCCCUUCGGGGUCCGAGUUGUAAUUUGUAGAAGAUGUUUCGGGUGCGGCGGCGGUCUAAGUCCCUUGGAACAGGGCGUCGCAGAGGGUGAGAAUCCCGUAUGUGACCGGCGACCAACCCCGGGUGAAACUCCUUCGACGAGUCGAGUUGUUUGGGAAUGCAGCUCAAAAUGGGUGGUAAAUUUCAUCUAAAGCUAAAUACCGGCCAGAGACCGAUAGCGCACAAGUAGAGUGAUCGAAAGAUGAAAAGCACUUUGGAAAGAGAGUUAAACAGUACGUGAAAUUGUUGAAAGGGAAGCGCUUGCGACCAGACCUGCCCGCGGACGAUCAGCGGGGGUUCUCCCCCGCGCACUCGCCCGUGAUCAGGCCAGCAUCGGUUCUGGCGGCCGGAUAAAGACCCUCGGAAUGUGACUCCCCCUGGGGAGUGUUAUAGCCUGGGGUGCAAUACGGCCAGCCGGGACCGAGGACCGCGCUUCGGCUAGGAUGCUGGCGUAAUGGUCGUAAGCGACCCGUCUUGAAACACGGACCAAGGAGUCUAACAUCUAUGCGAGUGUUUGGGUGUCAAACCCACACGCGGAAUGAAAGUGAACGGAGGUGGGAACCCUUCAGGGCGCACCAUCGACCGAUCCAGAAGUUUACGGAUGGAUUUGAGUAUGAGCAUAGCUGUUGGGACCCGAAAGAUGGUGAACUAUGCCUGAAUAGGGUGAAGCCAGAGGAAACUCUGGUGGAGGCUCGCAGCGGUUCUGACGUGCAAAUCGAUCGUCAAAUUUGGGUAUAGGGGCGAAAGACUAAUCGAACCAUCUGAACCCAACCUACCGGAUGAUUUGGACGGGCUGCAUUGCCAGCCCGGGGAGUCCCUUCGGGGGCCACAUCGCUAGAUUCUGGGUAUGCCUCCGGGCGACCCGUGGCGGGGUAUGCAGCCCCGUUCACAGACUAAACAGCGGUGGUCGCGGGCGGGGUUCCGCCCGCGAUUGCAAGAUAGUCGGUUUCCCU